rnacentral:rRNA from 1 species
UACAGAGGUCUCAAGCGUUGUUCGGAAUUACUGGGCGUAAAGGGCUCGUAGGCGGCCAACUAAGUCGGACGUGAAAUCCCUCGGCUUAACCGGGGAACUGCGUCCGAUACUGGCAGGCUUGAAUUCGGGAGAGGGAUGUGGAAUUCCAGGUGUAGCGGUGAAAUGCGUAGAUAUCUGGAGGAACACCGGUGGCGAAGGCGGCAUCCUGGACCGAUAUUGACGCUGAUGCGCGAAAGCCAGGGAGCAAACGGG